rnacentral:rRNA from 1 species
UACGUAGGGUGCGAGCGUUAAUCGGAAUUGCUGGGCGUAAAGCGUGCGUAGGUGGUUCGUUAAGUCUGAUGUGAAAGCCCUGGGCUCAACCUGGGAAUGGCAUUGGAUACUGGCGACCUAGAGUGCGGUAGAGGGGUGUGGAAUUCCCGGUGUAGCAGUGAAAUGCGUAGAUAUCAAGUGGAACACCAGUGGCGAAGGCGAGUCCCUGGACAACUCCUGACACUGAGGCACGAAAGCUAGGGGAGCAAACAGG